GGCGUGCUUAACACAUGCAAGUCGAGCGGUAAGGCCCUUCGGGGUACACGAGCGGCGAACGGGUGAGUAACACGUGGGUGAUCUGCCUCGCACUCUGGGAUAAGCCUGGGAAACUGGGUCUAAUACCGGAUAUGACCUUACAUCGCAUGGUGUUUGGUGGAAAGAUUUAUCGGUGCGAGAUGGGCCCGCGGCCUAUCAGCUUGUUGGUGGGGUAAUGGCCUACCAAGGCGACGACGGGUAGCCGGCCUGAGAGGGCGACCGGCCACACUGGGACUGAGACACGGCCCAGACUCCUACGGGAGGCAGCAGUGGGGAAUAUUGCACAAUGGGCGAAAGCCUGAUGCAGCGACGCCGCGUGAGGGAUGACGGCCUUCGGGUUGUAAACCUCUUUCGACAGGGACGAAGCGCAAGUGACGGUACCUGUAGAAGAAGCACCGGCCAACUACGUGCCAGCAGCCGCGGUAAUACGUAGGGUGCGAGCGUUGUCCGGAAUUACUGGGCGUAAAGAGCUUGUAGGCGGCUUGUCGCGUCGAUCGUGAAAACUUGGGGCUCAACCCCAAGCUUGCGGUCGAUACGGGCAGGCUUGAGUACUUCAGGGGAGACUGGAAUUCCUGGUGUAGCGGUGAAAUGCGCAGAUAUCAGGAGGAACACCGGUGGCGAAGGCGGGUCUCUGGGAAGUAACUGACGCUGAGAAGCGAAAGCGUGGGUAGCGAACAGGAUUAGAUACCCUGGUAGUCCACGCCGUAAACGGUGGGUACUAGGUGUGGGUUUCCUUCCACGGGAUCCGUGCCGUAGCUAACGCAUUAAGUACCCCGCCUGGGGAGUACNGCCGCAAGGCUAAAACUCAAA
rnacentral:rRNA from 1 species